rnacentral:rRNA from 1 species
UAGCAUAUCAAUAAGCGGAGGAAAAGAAACUAACAAGGAUUCCCCUAGUAACUGCGAGUGAAGCGGGAAAAGCUCAAAUUUAAAAUCUGUCAGUCUUUUGGCUGUCCGAGUUGUAAUCUAGAGAAGUGUUAUCCGCGCUGGACCGUGUACAAGUCUCCUGGAAUGGAGCGUCAUAGAGGGUGAGAAUCCCGUCUUUGACACGGACUGCCAGGGCUUUGUGAUGCGCUCUCAAAGAGUCGAGUUGUUUGGGAAUGCAGCUCAAAAUGGGUGGUAAAUUCCAUCUAAAGCUAAAUAUUGGCGAGAGACCGAUAGCGAACAAGUACCGUGAGGGAAAGAUGAAAAGAACUUUGGAAAGAGAGUUAAACAGUACGUGAAAUUGCUGAAAGGGAAACGCUUGAAGUCAGUCGCGUUGUCCAGGGAUCAACCUUGCUUUUGCUUGGUGUACUUUCUGGUUGACGGGUCAGCAUCAAUUUUGACUGUUGGAAAAAGGUCAGGGGAAUGUGGCAUCUUCGGAUGUGUUUAUAGCCCUUGGUCGCAUACAAUGGUUGGGAUUGAGGAACUCAGCACGCCGCAAGGCCGGAUAAACAUAUACCUACCACGUACGUGCUUAGGAUGCUGGCAUAAUGGCUUUAAUCGACCCGUCUUGAAACACGGACCAAGGAGUCUAACAUGCCUGCGAGUGUUUGGGUGGAAAACCCGAGCGCGUAAUUAAAGUGAAAGUUGAGAUCCCUGUCGUGGGGAGCAUCGACGCCCGGACCAGACCUCUUGUGACGGUUCCGCGGUAGAGCAUGUAUGUUGGGACCCGAAAGAUGGUGAACUAUGCCUGAAUAGGGUGAAGCCAGAGGAAACUCUGGUGGAGGCUCGUAGCGAUUCUGACGUGCAAAUCGAUCGUCAAAUUUGGGUAUAGGGGCGAAAGACUAAUCGAACC